UAUGUUCAUCACAGACGACAGUCAUUAGUUGGAGUAAAUCCGUUGAGCCGGUCAGCCGCUGUGAGUGAAUCAUUCAAUUUGUACAAAUUUCGAGCUACAUUGUUUAUCUUUGGAAGGCUGUAUCAACUAAUUCUGGGAUUAAAAUUAGAUUUGCUAUUAGAUUGAGGAACAGCGAACCCAAUGCAAAAAGAAACGGGGACAAUGGACAGAAGAUCAAAUGAAACUUGCUAUAGGCCGGUGAAAGUCUGUCACCUAUGUCGACCCUGGAAUCCGGAACUCGUCGGUAAAUAGGGAAGUGAGCGGAAAGAGAUCGUGGACACGUUAAGAAUAACGGUAACAGGUGAGGAACACCUGCCGAUCCUCUUUGAGUAGUUUGCGUCAAGCAAGACAACCUCUUCUCCACCCAGAUGGCGCAACAAAUGACGAAAAAAUUAAUAAUAACCUACGCAACGUUCUCACGCGCGCGACAGGAAGACUAAAUGACAGAUAUGCUCUGCUUUUGUUCUGUAGCAGGAGAAAACGAGACCAGGCUGACUCAGGAAAUCUGUGGAUAUGCGACGGAGUGUGAACCCGUGUGAACUCUCA